rnacentral:misc_RNA from 1 species
GAUGAAGAACGCAGCGAAAUGCGAUACUUGGUGUGAAUUGCAGAAUCCCGUGAACCAUCGAGUCUUUGAACGCAAGUUGCGCCCGAAGCCUCGGCUAAGGGCACGUCUGCCUGGGCGUCACGCAUCGCGUCUCCCCCAAACCGCCAAGGCGGAGGGGAAGGAAGAUGGCUUCCCGUGCCUCACCCGGGCGCGGUUGGCCUAAAUUUGGAGCCCGCGGCACUUAGCUCUCGCGGCGAUAGGUGGUGAACAAGGCCUUGGCCGUGCAAACAACCCGCUGCGAAGCUCUAUGUCACGUGCGCUCGUCGGACCCUUUGAAGUUGCCUUCGGUGACUUAAAACCUUUGCGACCCCAGGUCAGGCGGGGCUACCCGCUGAAUUUAAGCAUAUCAAUAAGCGGAGG